GAUGAACGCUGGCGGCGUGCCUAAUACAUGCAAGUCGAGCGAACAGACGAGGAGCUUGCUCCUCUGACGUUAGCGGCGGACGGGUGAGUAACACGUGUAUAACCUACCUAUAAGACUGGGAUAACUUCGGGAAACCGGAGCUAAUACCGGAUGAUAUAUUGAACCGCAUGGUUCAAUAGUGAAAGACGGUUUUGCUGUCACUUAUAGAUGGAUCCGCGCCGCAUUAGCUAGUUGGUAAGGUAACGGCUUACCAAGGCAACGAUGCGUAGCCGACCUGAGAGGGUGAUCGGCCAGACUGGAACUGAGACACGGCCCAGACUCCUACGGGAGGAAGCAGUAGGGAAUCUUCCGCAAUGGGCGAAAGCCUGACGGAGCAACGCCGCGUGAGUGAUGAAGGUCUUCGGAUCGUAAAACUCUGUUAUUAGGGAAGAACAAAUGUGUAAGUAACUAUGAACGUCUUGACGGUACCUAAUCAGAAAGCCACGGCUAACUACGUG
rnacentral:rRNA from 1 species